CGCGAGCUGGGGGCCCUUCCUGGGGGUGGGCGGAGCCCGGCCCGAGGCUCGUGCCUUCCCGCAGCUCCGGGGAGCUUCGCCGUGUCCCAGCCCCAGCCCAGACCCCGGCUGCAGCGAACACCGGUGGGCCGUGCUGCCCCCCAGCCCGGAGGAUGCGGUUCUCCUGGGGCAGAGAUGGGGCCGGGCCCGUGAAGCCGGGUCCCCAGCAGGCCUGGCCUCCGGCAGCUUCCUGCCCCAGUGUGGCCCCCGCUCGCCUCGACUGGGAGACGACCACAGCGUGGGGUCCCCGGCCGCCCCUCGCAUCCGCCAGGGCCUCCCAGAGCGACACCCGCUCUGGCUACCGGGAAUGCAGGGGAAACGCACACUCAGGACUAAGGAGUGUGGCCCCCACUUUAGAGGAGGAACUGCCCAUACCACUUUCCCCAGAGUCCACGAGACGGUUGCCCAGCUGUGCCGGCCUGCUGCCCAGGCCCCUGCCACCCCCAAGCCCACCCACAGCCCCCUGGGCCUGGAGGGGACCUCAGUUCAGGCCCUGCUGGGUUGGCCAAGCUCAGGCCCCACGCCAGACCCCCCCCCCCCCCCCCCCCGAGGCCCGACUGCAUGGAGGCUGCAGGAAUGGAACAACCUGCGGGGUAAGAUGUGGUCACAUGUUUCCCGGGCUGCAGGUGUCCUCAUGUGACACAUGGGGUGAGUCGCACCUGACUCCACGUCCAGGGCGGGGUGAGGGCCCCACGUAGGCUGAGAGGGAAGGUCACACCUGACCCGCAUCCAGGGCGGGGUGAGGGCCCCUUGUGGGCUGAGAGGGAAGGUCACACCUGACCCCACCUCCAGGGCGGGGUGAGGGCCCCACCUGGGCUGAGUGUGGCUGCCACACCAGGCGGGCCCAGCUCUCCCUGGACAUGGCCACCUCUAGGCCACUGGCCACCAGGCAGGACGGCGCAGGCCUGAGCUGCCAGGACACGUGGGGCCCAAAGCAGGCCGAGGCCGUCGGCGCUGUGGCCUGCCCCCUCACGCGGCCCCCCGCCUGCCGGGCGUGGGCUGACGCUGGUGCUGGCGCACCCCUGGACGGGAGGUCUGAACGGGAGCCUCGGG
rnacentral:lncRNA from 1 species